rnacentral:rRNA from 1 species
AUUGAACGCUGGCGGCAUGCCUUACACAUGCAAGUCGAACGGUAACAGGUCUUCGGAUGCUGACGAGUGGCGAACGGGUGAGUAAUACAUCGGAACGUGCCCAGACGUGGGGGAUAACGAGGCGAAAGCUUUGCUAAUACCGCAUACGAUCUAAGGAUGAAAGCAGGGGACCGCAAGGCCUUGUGCGUUUGGAGCGGCCGAUGGCAGAUUAGGUAGUUGGUGGGAUAAAGGCUUACCAAGCCGACGAUCUGUAGCUGGUCUGAGAGGACGACCAGCCACACUGGGACUGAGACACGGCCCAGACUCCUACGGGAGGCAGCAGUGGGGAAUUUUGGACAAUGGGCGAAAGCCUGAUCCAGCUAUGCCGCGUGCAGGAUGAAGGCCUUCGGGUUGUAAACUGCUUUUGUACGGAACGAAAAGGCUCUGGCUAAUACCUGGGGCACAUGACGGUACCGUAAGAAUAAGCACCGGCUAACUACGUG